CUCUUUUUUUAUUUUUUCUGCACCCAGUUUAAAACAAAACCUUAGGAAAAAGUUCCUGCAGUUUUCAGCUUGAUGCAAAUUACAAACAUACUAUACUGGACACAGCCCAGCUGCAGGGAAUCCAAAAAUCAACUGUAAACAAAUGAAGCUUUACUCUUGGGCCUAAAAAGAACCCAGGCUUUUAAGCUGAGGACACCUUGAUUUCACUUGUAAAUUUUGGUUUUAGCUGGCUGAGCUCAAGAGCUGAACGUCCUGAGAGAAGCCUCCAGGCCUUGUCCCAGGCUGAGCCCUUCCAGGAGGCUGGUGCGAAGGGGAAGAGCUUCGGCAUCUCUGGGGGUGCUGCCCUGCUCUGUCCUGCGUGCUCCGUUCAUUUGGUGUAAAGGAAAGCUCGUCUCACCCAAGCUAAGGAAAAAGACACCCCUCCAAGAGGCUGUGCAGCACCCAGGAGCCAGGAGGCAGACGCUGGGAGAGCUGGCACUCAGCAGGGAGACGAGCAGGGAGGCCACCGCGAGACCGCGUGGCCGGAGGAGCCACUCCUGCUGCUGCCGUCACAGACACGGCGGCUCAAAGAAACACAAGGUUAAUCUUCGUUGGUCCUUUUUAAAACAGAUUUAUUGCGACACAAUUCACAGAUCACGCAGUUCACCCGCUGAAGGCUUACAACUCAGGCUUCCGGUGUAAGCACAGGCAUGGGCAACUGUCACCACAGACAGUCACAGAGCACUUCACCGCCUCGAANAGAAGCCCUGUGCCCUCUUCUCCCAGCCCUCACAUCCCUAAACCCCCUGGUCCCAGGCGAGCGCGAACCUAGUUCUGCCCGGGGUUGGGGACCACGGCGGGCCUCCUUCGGAGUGAGGUCGGCUCUGGGGCUCAGUGGGGUAGGGGGUGCGGGGCGCAGGCCUCCGAGCCUCUGCAGCAGGGAACUCGGCUGCAGGCAUCCGGCAAGACCAGGCCUGAAGUUCUCGUGCCCCAGGACUGCGGCGGAGCCCCCACCCCGCACAAGCGGGGGCCAAAGGAGGGCCAGGCCCCAGCUUACAUCGGCACGUGCCCAGAACGCGGCCUCGGCAACAGGGGGCUGGCGCGGGUGGAGAAAGGCUGCCUCCCUGCGUCUCCUGGGAAGACAGCCUCUGGAGCCGGGAGAGAGGGGCCCCUGUGCUCUUGGCUGCCACGUUCUAGGGGGGUCUCAUCCUGCUAAGCGGGGGUCCUGA
rnacentral:lncRNA from 1 species